ensembl:ncRNA F47B7.9 ncRNA
AAAAACGAGCGAAACUGUUUAACACCGGAUUACUGGAGCGGUGGCGUACAUUUUGGAAAAUGAUAAGUUUGGUCGUUUUGUCAGCUUUUCUUCAAACACCGCCAGCGAACUGUCUAACAGUGGAGGAACGUGGAAAUAUUUGAG